UGCAAUAAGAUAUAGACGGUGAUUGGAGUCGUUUCUCUUUUUGCUUCCAGAGGGAGCUCAAACCUGAAGCAUCAAGGUUAUCUUUUUCCAAAGGAUUUGUGUGAACCUAAGUUCGGUACCUGCGACGAGUAAAAACACUUAUUUGACCCUCUAGAGACUCAGCUAGAACUGACUGAGCAAAGGGAAAUCGGGCAAAAGAAAGGGAAGGUACUGAGGAGAAAACGACUGCGCCCAGGGAC
rnacentral:lncRNA from 1 species